AAAAUAAAUUAUUAUGUAGUUCUUUAGCAUGUAAAUAAAAAAAAUUCUUCGAUUUGAGAGUAUUAUAGAAUUUCAUUACCUUCAUCGUAAUGGUGUUCCGCUGCAUAAUUGUUGUAAAUUUUGAAAAGGAGAUGGUAGAUUGGAGGUGAUUACUAAUUUUCAAUUUAUAAUUUGUUAGUAAUUUAUUUUUUGAUUUAACAAUAAUUUGAUGAUAUUAAUGGUGGAGAUGGUAUUAUAAUAGUGACAUGAUGAAGACUACUUCAGAGAAUUGAUGAAGAUGGCGGCUACGUAGAGGGAUUUUGGUGAUGGCAGCUAAAAGGACUGAAAAAGAGCAGAGGAGGGUAAUGAAGAAGAAGAAGAAAGAGAAAAAGAAAAAAAAUGAAGUUAAUAAAAUAAGAAAAACAAAAAUGAAAAUAAAGAUUAAAAAUUAAAAUUAACACGUGGCAGAUUAUAACUGGUGCGUGAUUGCACUUCUUUUCUUGCAAUUGAGGGUGACUGAAAAAUGAGAUAUUUACAACACUUUAAAAUUGUUUAAGGGGGUAGUAGGACCAGUGACAGAUCCAGAAUUUUCAUUUAGGAGGUUCGAAAAAUAAGAGUAUAAACGUGUAAAUAAACC
rnacentral:lncRNA from 1 species